rnacentral:rRNA from 1 species
AUUGAACGCUGGCGGCAGGCCUAACACAUGCAAGUCGAGCGAGCGGCGGACGGGUGAGUAAUAUAUGGGGCCUGCCCGAUCGAGGGGGAUAACUACUGGACAAGGUAGCUAAUACCGCAUACUAUCAGAUAACACAUAUGGGAUUAGUUAGUAGGUGAGGUAAUGGCUCCCCUAGGCGACGAUCCCUAGCUGGUCUGAGAGGAUGAUCAGCCAAACUGGGACUGAGACACGGCCCAGAAUACUACGGAGGCAGCAGUGGGGAAUAUGGCACAAUGGGCGCGAGCCGGAUGCAGCCAUGCUGCGUGUAUGAAGAAGGCCCUAGGGUUGGAAAGUACUUUCAGUCGGGAGGCGUUACCGAAAGAAGAAGCACCGGCUAACUCCGUGCCAGCAGCCGCGGUAAUUC